rnacentral:rRNA from 1 species
UACGGAGGAUCCGAGCGUUAUCCGGAUUUAUUGGGUUUAAAGGGUGCGUAGGCGGCCUUGUAAGUCAGGGGUGAAAGACGGUAGCUUAACUAUCGCAGUGCCCUUGAUACUGCAGGGCUUGAAUGUACUAGAGGUAGGCGGAAUGUGACAAGUAGCGGUGAAGUGCAUAGAUAUGUCACAGAACACCAAUUGCGAAGGCAGCUGGCUAGACCUAUAUUGACGCUGAGGCACGAAAGCGUGGGGAUCGAACAGG